AUGAACGCUGGCGGCGUGCCUAAUACAUGCAAGUCGAGCGAACGGACGAGAAGCUUGCUUCUCUGAUGUUAGCGGCGGACGGGUGAGUAACACGUGGAUAACCUACCUAUAAGACUGGGAUAACUUCGGGAAACCGGAGCUAAUACCGGAUAAUAUUUUGAACCGCAUGGUUCAAAAGUGAAAGACGGUCUUGCUGUCACUUAUAGAUGGAUCCGCGCUGCAUUAGCUAGUUGGUAAGGUAACGGCUUACCAAGGCAACGAUGCAUAGCCGACCUGAGAGGUGGAUCGGCCACACUGGAACUGAGACACGGUCCAGACUCCUACGGGAGGCAGCAGUAGGGAAUCUUCCGCAAUGGGCGAAAGCCUGACGGAGCAACGCCGCGUGAGUGAUGAAGGUCUUCGGAUCGUAAAACUCUGUUAUUAGGGAAGAACAUAUGUGUAAGUAACUGUGCACAUCUUGACGGUACCUAAUCAGAAAGCCACGGCUAACUACGUG
rnacentral:rRNA from 1 species